ACGAACGCUGGCGGCGUGCUUAACACAUGCAAGUCGAACGCUGAAGCUUGGUGCUUGCACUGGGUGGAUGAGUGGCGAACGGGUGAGUAAUACGUGAGUAACCUGCCCUUGACUCUGGGAUAAGCCUGGGAAACUGGGUCUAAUACUGGAUACGACAUGUCACCGCAUGGUGGCGUGUGGAAAGGGUUUUACUGGUUUUGGAUGGGCUCACGGCCUAUCAGCUUGUUGGUGGGGUAAUGGCUCACCAAGGCGACGACGGGUAGCCGGCCUGAGAGGGUGACCGGCCACACUGGGACUGAGACACGGCCCAGACUCCUACGGGAGGCAGCAGUGGGGAAUAUUGCACAAUGGGCGAAAGCCUGAUGCAGCGACGCCGCGUGAGGGAUGACGGCCUUCGGGUUGUAAACCUCUUUCAGCACGGAAGAAGCGAAAGUGACGGUACGUGCAGAAGAAGCGCCGGCUAACUACGUG
rnacentral:rRNA from 1 species